UACGAAGGGGGCAAGCGUUGUUCGGAAUUACUGGGCGUAAAGGGCGCGUAGGCGGUGCACUAAGUCAGGCGUGAAAGCCCUGGGCUCAACCCGGGAAUUGCGCUUGAUACUGGUGCGCUUGAAUCCAGGAGAGGUUGGUGGAAUUCCCAGUGUAGCGGUGAAAUUCGUAGGGAUUGGGAAGAACACCGGUGGCGAAGGCGGCCAACUGGACGAAUACUGACGCUGAGACUCGAAAGCGUGGGGAGCAAACAGG
rnacentral:rRNA from 1 species